AAGUCGUAACAAGGUUUCCGUAGGUGAACCUGCGGAAGGAUCAUUAAAAAAUCAUGAACCGUACAGUACAUACCAGCGUAUAUACUGUACGCAUGGGAGCCGCAAGGCUCUCUGAAUAUUUUGUGAACUGUGUGGACAGUACGAUAGGGGGUAAUAUGUGAUUAAGAGGGGGAGAGGGUUUAUGAGGUUGGACAUAUGGACGUAUCAUGUUAUGUGCUAUGUUGUAUGGUGAACAGCUGAACAACACAAUCCCCUUUGCCACCCAGUAUUAUCCAUCCAUCUGUUGUACUGUCUAUUUUGAUAAUAUAUGUUAUGUAUUGAUGAAGUAUGAUAGAGAGGGGGAGGAAACUCCAACCUCUCGAACAACAAAUAUAUUAUACAACUUUCAACAGUGGAUCUCUCGGCUCUU
rnacentral:misc_RNA from 1 species